CAAAUCAGACGCCCAGUUGGACAGUUGCAAUAAAUUUUUUGCAUUGUUAACCGUUAAUGCGGCAAAUGAAGAUUUGUUUUAUUACAUUUUUAAAUGAUUAUUGCAGUAAUUUUGUAUGAAAUAAUGAGAAAAUAAUAUUCGAUGAUAGUAUUGAAGCCACCUGAACGCAAAUAAGCGAGGCCAAUGAUUACCAAAAUGAAAAUUAUAACUCCAGCACCAAUUCCAACACUGGUACCAACUCCUUGGACUUCUGCCACUUCGUUCAAAGACACUGUGGGCGGAUUCGCACUCCAAAAUCCCGUGGAUUCGCAAAUUCUAUUUUUCGAUCCUAAAAGCAUAUAACCAUCGGGACAUGUGUAUUCAAUAAUUGCUCCAAUCGUUCUUUUGGAACCGACAAUACUUGUAUUUUCCGAUCUCUCAGGACUGCCGCAUAUCGAUGGCUCUGAAAAAUAAAUGAGAUUUAUCUCACCAUCGGUAGCAAAGACCUCGACUUCACAGAGACUCAAACUGCCUUCAACUCCAACCAAUUGAAGAAACACGUACUGUCCAAUCAAGGCCCUUGCACACACGAAUGUUUUUGUUAUUCCUUCCUCUGUAAUUGUAUCAUAUUAUUUGGAAAAUUUUAAAGCAUUUUUGCAAAGAGAACAAAAUUUAAAUAAGUGCUGUACGCAUUCCGUCGAGAAAAAAAAAAUUGUCGUACUUGUCUAUUUAAUAAUCACUUACCAAUUGUACCCGGAAACCAU